AGGGGGUCCACCGCCUCCCCUGCCUGCAACGCGGGUUAGGACUCCCCCACCCACGAGCGGCUCCGUCCCAGAGCCAAAACGGAGUGGACUCAGACAACCUGAAGCGUGGGCCCGGCCUUUUCUUUCAUUCUUCUGAUUAGAAACAGUCCCAGAGGCGAAGCGAUUUGCCCGAAGUCGGCAACUUCCUGGAACUGGAAACCAGUCGGCAGACUUCCGCGUCGCGGCUCCUUCCGCCGCGAUCAGGUUACCCAGCGCCCCGGGACGUCCCAUAGACGAGGAAAGCAGGGGUCGACCCGGGAGAGGCUCGGAGGGGGACGCUCUUCCUCCUCGUAACUGCUUAUGGCAGGCGGCGGAGAUUGGACUAACUUUGAGAAAUACUCUAAGGAGCCCCGAGAAAUCCUAUGUGGAAAAAGAGACCUGUGACACCAGGCACAUUCUGCCCAGUGAGGUGAAACCAAAGGGCUCCAAUUGUCUGGUCUCAGCGCAGAUAUUAUGACGGGCAGCUUCUGAGGUGACCGCCACUGGUCCCUGGCUCCUCGUCUCCAAGCCCUUGGGAUUCUGAAGAAAGGAGCGUGGCAGGAGCUGCCCUGUUGUGAACUGCUUUGUGGUGAGGGUCACGUGACCAGGAGCAGAGGGAGGCCUCCAGCCAAACACCUGUGAGGAAGAGAGUCCCUCCAGCGAUGAUGUGAGUGAGCAUGGGGUCCUCCCCCAGCUGAGCCUUCAGAUGAGAUGGCAGCCCCAGCAGGCAGCAUUACCACAACCUCAUGGAAGACUUAGCCACGAGAGGCAGCCAGUUAAGCCAUGCCUGGAUUC